ensembl:misc_RNA
UUGAAGGCGUGGAGACUGAAGUCCUCUCUGUAUCCACAGAUCAGGUGUGGCACAGGCCGAGGCAGUGCAGCUUCCCACUGUGCCCCGCCCCGUGCCUCAGUCCUGGCUGAGAGGGGCCAUGUUGAGGGUAAGAGGGCUGUCAGUCUCCAUGCCCUUCAAUCUUUGGCUACU